UGUCACUUGCAUUUAUGUUUCUUUCCUUCCUUUUUCUCUCUCUUCCUCUCAGCCCUACCCAUCAGAGCCACUCCCAGCAGGGAAAGGGAGAGAAAAAACGAUGUUACCUCUCUAGUCCCAUUCGUCCCUCCCAUUCAGAGCACUCAAGGAAGAUCUUCAGCUACUUUCUAGCCUGUUAGCUGAGGAAGGAAUCAUUAACCACCCACCUCAAAUCAUUAGCCUUCCUUCAACUUGUCUCAGGACUGUUAGGACAAACCAAAAUACGAAAGUAGUGGGCAAGCUUUCAAGUUUUUCUGAAAGCUGGAUGGAGAGAGAAGAGAGG